CAACCAUCCAUCUGUUUUCUGUCUCUGUGGAUAUUCAAGAUAUUUUACAUAAUUGGAACCAUAUGUGACCUUUGUGUCUGGCUUCUUUCACUUAGCAUAAUGCUUUUAAAGUAUAUAUACAUCGUAGUAUAUACCAGUACUUCAUACCUUUCUAUGGCUGUGUAAUAUUGUAUGCCGUGGAGCAUAUGCCAACCUGCAGUAGGAUGCAUGUCUCCCUCCAAGAAGAGGAAGCACCGCCUCUCAGGGCAUCCCGCUUUUGACUCAGGUUUUACGAUUUUACUUCCAACCACGGAUUUACAGAAAACAUGAGACAAUACAGAGAGUUCCUGGAUCCCCUAUCAUUGAUACCUCAUGUUACUAUGGUAAGUUCCUCACAAUAAGGGAGCCAAUGUUGAUACAUGAUUAUUAACUAAAGUCAAUAAUUUAUUCAGAUUGUCUUGGUUUUUACCUAACGUUCCUUUUCUGUUUUCAGGAUCCCACCCACGAUACUGCUCUGUCAUGGGUGGGGUCCUUGCGUACCCUCA
ensembl:lncRNA